CCUACGGGUGGCAGCAGUGGGGAAUAUUGCACAAUAGGGGGAACCCUGAUGCAGCGACGCCGCGUGAGUGAAGACGUAUUUCGGUAUGUAAAGCUCUAUCAGCAGGGAAGAAAAUGACGGUACCUGACUAAGAAGCCCCGGCUAACUACGUGCCAGCAGCCGCGGUAAUACGGAGGGGGCAAGCGUUAUCCGGAUUUACUGGGCGUAAAGGGGGCGUAGGCGGUUUUGCAAGUCUGAAGUGAAAUACCGAGGCUCAACCAUGGGUCUGCUUUGGAAACUGUAAAACUGGAGUGCAGUAGAGGUAAGCGGAAUGUGUAGUGUAGCGGUGAAAUGCGUAGAUAUUAGGAGGAACACCGGUGGCGAAGGCAGCUUACUGGACUGUAACUGACGUUGAGGCACGAAGGCGUGGGGAGCAAACAGGAUUAGAUACCCGUGUAGUC
rnacentral:rRNA from 1 species